rnacentral:rRNA from 1 species
AUACGUAGGUGACAAGCGUUAUCCGGAUUUACUGGGUGUAAAGGGCGUGUAGGCGGUUUAGCAAGUCAGAAGUGAAAUUCCCGGGCUUAACUUGGGCGCUGCUUCUGAAACUGCUUUACUUGAGUGCUGGAGAGGAUAGUGGAAUUCCUAGUGUAGCGGUAAAAUGCGCAGAUAUUAGGAGGAACACCGGUGGCGAAGGCGGCUAUCUGGACAGUAACUGACGCUGAGGCGCGAAAGCACGGGGAGCAAACAGGAUUAGAUACCCUGGUAGUCCGUGCCGUAAACGAUGAAUACUAGGUGUAGGGGGUAUCGACUCCCUCUGUGCCGCAGUUAACACAUUAAGUAUUCCACCUGGGGAGUACGGCCGCAAGGUUGAAACUCAAAGGAAUUGGCGGGG